rnacentral:rRNA from 1 species
UACGAAGGGGGCUAGCGUUGUUCGGAAUCACUGGGCGUAAAGGGCGCGUAGGCGGCCAUAUAAGUCGGGGGUGAAAGCCUGUGGCUCAACCACAGAAUUGCCUUCGAUACUGUAUGACUCGAGACCGGAAGAGGUAAGUGGAACUGCGAGUGUAGAGGUGAAAUUCGUAGAUAUUCGCAAGAACACCAGUGGCGAAGGCGGCUUACUGGUCCGGUUCUGACGCUGAGGCGCGAAAGCGUGGGGAGCAAACAGG